rnacentral:rRNA from 1 species
AGAGUUUGAUCCUGGCUCAGAGUGAACGCUGGCGGCGUGCUUAAGACAUGCAAGUUGAACGGAACUUAUUGAGGGGUAACCCUUGGUAAGUUUAGUGGCAAACGGGUGAGUAACACGUAGAAAACCUGCCCUUGAGAGGGGGAUAACCCGCCGAAAGGCGAGCUAAUACCCCAUAAGACCACGACCACUUCGGUGGAUGAGGUCAAAUGCUAACAAGCGCUCUUGGAUGGUUCUGCGGACUAUCAGCUAGUUGGUGAGGUAACGGCCCACCAAGGCUAUGACGGAUAUCCGGCCUGAAAGGGUGAUCGGACACAAUGGAACUGAGACACGGUCCAUACUCCUACGGGAGGCAGCAGUCGGGAAUUUUGGACAAUGGGCGAAAGCCUGAUCCAGCAACGCCGCGUGAAGGACGAAGGUCUUCGGAUCGUAAACUUCUUUUAGAGGGAACGAAAAAAAUGACGGUACUCUCAGAAAAAGCAACGGCUAACUACGUGCCAGCAGCCGCGGUAAUACGUAGGUUGCAAGCGUUACUCGGAAUUACUAGGCGUAAAGCGUAUGUAGGCGGUUUGAUAAGUCUGCUGUGAAAUCUCUCGGCUCAACCGGGUGCGGUCAGCAGAAACUAUCAGGCUUGAGUGUGGGAGGGGGUGAUGGAAUUCCUGGUGUAGCGGUGAAAUGCGUAGAUAUCAGGAGGAACACCUAUGGCGAAAGCAGUCACCUGGCCCAAUACUGACGCUGAGAUACGAAAGCUAGGGGAGCAAACAGGAUUAGAUACCCUGGUAGUCCUAGCUGUAAACGAUGCUCACUAGAUGUGGAAGGUAUCGACCCCUUCCGCGUCGACGCUAACGCAUUAAGCGAGCCGCCUGGGAAGUACGGCCGCAAGGUUGAAACUCAAAGGAAUUGACGG